rnacentral:rRNA from 1 species
CCUACGGGAGGCAGCAGUCGAGAAUCAUUCACAAUGGGGGAAACCCUGAUGGUGCGACGCCGCGUGGGGGAAUGAAGGUCUUCGGAUUGUAAACCCCUGUCAUGUGGGAGCAAAUUAAAAAGAUAGUACCACAAGAGGAAGAGACGGCUAACUCUGUGCCAGCAGCCGCGGUAAUACAGAGGUCUCAAGCGUUGUUCGGAAUCACUGGGCGUAAGGCGUGCGUAGGCUGUUUCGUAAGUCGUGUGUGAAAGGCGCGGGCUCAACCCGCGGACGGCACAUGAUACUGCGAGACUAGAGUAAUGGAGGGGGAACCGGAAUUCUCGGUGUAGCAGUGACAUGCGUAGAUAUCGAGAGGAACACUCGUGGCGAAGGCGGGUUCCUGGACAUUAACUGACGCUGAGGCACGAAGGCCAGGGGAGCGAAAGGGAUUAGAUACCCUUGUAGUC